AAAAAAAAAAAAGAAUAUGUCAUCAAACUGCAUUUGCUGCAUCUUUGACAGUGGGUGUUCCAUUUUUACCUAUCACUUGUUAUUUCACAGAGUCAUAUCAACACUAAAUGCAAGGCUGUGAUAUGGAAACAGAAGGUGUUUGAACAUUUGAAACCUUUGGUGGGAUUGAUGAUGGUACUGACAUCAAUGCUGUAUGGGUGAGAAAAAGCAGAGAGUACAUGCAGAGACUCGGUGGUGCAAAAGACAAUUUUAAAAAAUGUGUCUGUAUGUAUCUCUCAAACCCAUGGCUUUGAUGAGAGCAUUCAUAAGAGCAAUAACAGCAAAUAAUGCAUGGAUGCUUCUUGCAUUCAAGGGACAUAGACAUAUGUUGAAAGACUUAAAGUGAGUUUGAUUUCUGGGUUACUUAAAUUGCUUAAAUGUCUUAAGUGAAAUGAUGCUGAUAUUAUCCCUUGUCAAUGUUCUGAAUGCUGGAUAAUAUUAUCUUGUUUUUGAAACAUAAAUGGGAUAAGGUGAACUGAUGCUGAGGGAGAGUUAUGGCUGACAACAUUGCCUGGGUUUGUGGUAGUUUUGAAGCCGAGUUCACCAAUGAGCACAGCAUGUGUCUCAGAGAUGCGAGGACCUUCUAAUGACUAUAACAUCUACAAGAAUGCUAAUUGUGGCAAGUCUGAGACCUGGACUUGGAUAAUUUUAUGUAGUUAAUAUUAAAAAUUCUUCAAUAAAAUUUUAAUUUCUUUUUUAAAAAAGAAAUAAUUUAAUUGGUCUCACUUUCGUUUUAUAUUAGAAGGUGAUAUGGUUUGGCUCUAUCUGUGUCUCCACCCAAAUCUUAUGUCAAAUUGUAAUUUCCAAUGUUGGAGGUGGACCUGGUGGGAGGUAAUUGGAUCAUGGGGACAGUUUCUCAGGGAUUAACACCAUCCCCCUUGGUGUUGUCAUGGUGAGAGUGAGUUAUCUUGAAAUCUGGUUGUUUAAAAGUAUGUAACAUCUCCCCGCCCUGUCUCUUGCUCCUGCUCUGACCAUGUAAGACCUCCCUGCUUCCCCUUUGCCUUCAGAAGUGAUUGAAAGUUUCCUGAGGCCACCCCAGCCAAGAUUCUCACACAGCCUGUGGGACUGAGAGCCAAUUAAACCUCUUUUCUUAAUAAAUUACCUAAUCUCAGGCAUAUAGCAAUGCGAGAACAGACUAAUACAGAACCUGAGAUUCAGGGAAGUCACUCAAUGUCUCUCAAUGGUAAGUAGCAGAAAUAGGACUAGAACUCAAGUCACUAGGAACUCCAUAUUAGCAGUCGCCUGAACACUCUCCCUUCCAUUCUUUAUAUACAGGAUGUCUGUUAUAUUUUUUCUGCUUCCUCUACAGUCUCCCCAACUUCUUUACUUUGAAACCAUCCCUUCAUGGGUCCAUGUGCUUCUGUUGGGUCUGCCAAUUAAGGAUUCUUGCUUAGUUGAAAGCCACAGUGAAGGCACAUAGCAUGGGCUGGCUAAUCAAAAUACCCCAUCACCCUGGGCAUGGCAACUAGACCUUAAAUGGGCAUAUAGCCCAAUGGGACUAACCGGUUAUUUUAAAGGGAUUGAUAUUCAUAAUGAAGGAGAGAGUGGACUUUAUUGCUAUGGUUUGAAUGUUUGUCUCCUCCAAAACUCAAGUUGAAAACUGCCAUUAUAACAGUAUUAGAGGUGAGACUUUUAAGAGGUGAUUAGGCCAUGAAGGCUCCACCCUCAUGGGUGGGAGUGGUUACAAUUAUAUAAGAGUAAGUUUAGUCUCCUCUUUCCCUCCCUCUUGUUCUCUUGACUUCCACCAUGUGAUAACACAGCAAGAGGCCCCCACUAGUUGCUGGCACCUUGAUAUUGAACUUCCCAGCCUCCAGAACUGUGAACUAAUAAAUUUGUGUUCGCUAUAAAUUAUCCAGUAUCAGAGAUCUUUCUGAGUAUGAAGGCAACACAAAGGAAAUUAAACCGAGAGAAGAUUUAAGGAAUCUGAAGAUAUCAGUUGAAUCUCUGCAACCAGCUACAUCUAAAUCUGGUUAUAGCUCCAAUGGCUUUGUCUUCAGAUAAACAGAUCUCAGCUGGGACUGUCUGGAUUCAUCUGUAUUUCAGGAUUUCAGGAUGACAGCUUCCCCUGUGAUCUCAGUUCUCCAAUGGGUCUAAGAGAAGACAUUGAUUUUUUUUUUUCAGUUUUUGCAGCUUUUUGUUAUUGUAAGGAUGGGAACAACAACUUCCAAGCUCUUUGCAUGUCACUGCUAAAACCAGAAAUGUUUAUAUUUUGGUAAUUUUUGUUAUGCUCUGUGCUACUGAUACCUUAGCCUUCCUUGCCAAGUGAUGCAAUAUUGUAUUUGGUUUAGUAAAAGCAUAUUGUGUUAACACUGCGUCAGUAGGCUUGUGCUCUAGGCUUUUCUUAUGAUAGUGCUCCUCAGUCUCCAUUUUCAAAAUGAAUUAACAACACAGAAAAUAUGAAAUGUUUCAUGAGGAUUGGAGGAAGUCAAAAGUUUCAUAUAUUGCUAGUGGGAGAUUGAAUCAUCCCCUUUUGAUAACUGUUUGGGGUAGCUUAUUCUAAAUUCAAACACAUGUACAUAGUCCAUCACGACAUAGUGACUUUCCUCCUAGGUAUGUACCCCUAAAAAAUGUAAAAAAAAAAAUUCCUAGCAAUACUAUUUAUAAUAACGAUAAACUGGAAACAAUCCAAAUGUCACUAGAAUGGAUACAUAAAUAUGGUUUAUUCACACAAUGGAAUGCAGCAUUGAGGAUUAGGGAUAAAUCUCACAAACAUGAAGUGAAAGAAGUCAAACACAGAAAAAGUACAUACUGCAUGGUUUUAUUUGUUUGUAGCUUAAGAACAGUCAAAACUAAGCUAUGGCAUGAAGAGCCAGGAAUGUGACUACCUGGUAUGUUGAAGGUUUUAGUGAUUAGCUGAGCAUAAAGAAGGACACAUGGGAAGCUAGUAAUGAUAUGCUCCUUGAGCUGUUGACAUGGAAUAUUCAAUAUGUGAAAAAC
rnacentral:lncRNA from 1 species